rnacentral:misc_RNA from 1 species
GGAUGAAGAACGCAGCGAAAUGCGAUAAGUAGUGUGAAUUGCAGAAUUCAGUGAAUCAUCGAAUCUUUGAACGCACAUUGCGCCCCUUGGUAUUCCAUGGGGCAUGCCUGUUCGAGCGUCAUUUGUACCUUCAAGCUUUGCUUGGUGUUGGGUGUUUGUCCUGAGGGACUCGCCUUAAAGUAAUUGGCAGCCAGUGUUUUGGUUUUGAAGCGCAGCACAAGUCGCGAUUCAAAGCUAUACGCCAGCUUCCACAAGCCUUUUUCACUUUUGACCUCGGAUCAGGUAGGGAUACCCGCUGAACUUAAGCAUAUCAAUAAGCGGAGGA